rnacentral:rRNA from 1 species
GACGAACGCUGGCGGCGUGCUUAACACAUGCAAGUCGAACGGAAAGGCCCUUCGGGGUACUCGAGUGGCGAACGGGUGAGUAACACGUGGGUGAUCUGCCCUGCACUUUGGGAUAAGCCUGGGAAACUGGGUCUAAUACCGGAUAGGACUACGCACUGCAUGGUGUGUGGUGGAAAGCGUUUGCGGUGUGGGAUGGGCCCGCGGCCUAUCAGCUUGUUGGUGGGGUGAUGGCCUACCAAGGCGACGAAGGGUAGCCGGCCUGAGAGGGUGUCCGGCCACACUGGGACUGAGAUACGGCCCAGACUCCUACGGGAGGCAGCAGUGGGGAAUAUUGCACAAUGGGCGCAAGCCUGAUGCAGCGACGCCGCGUGAGGGAUGACGGCCUUCGGGUUGUAAACCUCUUUCAGCAGGGACGAAGCGCAAGUGACGGUACCUGCAGAAGAAGCACCGGCCAACUACGUGCCAGCAGCCGCCGUAAUAC